rnacentral:rRNA from 1 species
AGCGAACGCUGGCGGCAGGCUUAACACAUGCAAGUCGAGCGCCCCGCCAGGGGAGCGGCAGACGGGAGAGUAACACGUGGGAACAUACCUUUUGGUUCGGAACAACUUAGGGAAACUUCAGCUAAUACCGGAUAAGCCCUUACGGGGAAAGAUUUAUCGCCGAAAGAUUGGCCCGCGGCUGAUUAGCUAGUUGGUGAGGUAACGGCUCACCAAGGCGACGAUCAGUAGCUGGUCUGAGAGGAUGAUCAGCCUCACUGGGACUGAGACACGGCCCAGACUCCUACGGGAGGCAGCAGUGGGGAAUAUUGGACAAUGGGGGCAACCCUGAUCCAGCCAUGCCGCGUGAGUGAUGAAGGCCUUAGGGUUGUAAAGCUCUUUUGCCCGGGAAGAUAAUGACGGUACCGGGAGAAUAAGCCCCGGCUAACUUCGUG